rnacentral:lncRNA from 1 species
ACCCUCUAGUGCUGGGAUUACAGGCGUGAGCCACUGUGCCCAGCCUCUUAACCAAUUUUAAGUGUAUGAUUUAGUAAUGUUAGGUAUAUUCGUGUUGUUGUGCAACCAGUUUCCAGAACUCUUUAAUUUUGCAAAACUGAAACUUUCUAUCCAUUAAACAACUCCCUAUUCUCUCCUCCCCUAGCCCCAGACAACCACCACUCUACUCUUGAUAGGAGAUAUGAAUUUGACUAUUCUAGAUACCUCAUAUAGGUGGAGUCAUACAGUAUUUGAUUGUUUAUGACCAGUUUACUUCACUUAGUAUAGUGCCCUCAGGAUUUAUUCAUAUCAUAGCAUGUGUCAGAGUUUUCUUCCUUUUUAAGGCUGAAAAGCAGCCUAUUGCAUGUAAGUACUGUGUUUUGUUUAUCCAUUCAUCCACGGAUAGACAGUAGGGUUAAUUCUACCCUUUGGUUAUUUUGAAUACCACUGCUAUGAACAUGGGUGUAUGGAAUGAUUUAACUUUCACACAUAAAUGAGAUUUAGAAUUAUUUUUCUCAUAACUCUCAGAAGCUCAUAUCAGCUACCUUUUAAGACCAGAGGUGUAGCUCAGAAAACCUACCUUCCAGGGAUACUGGGAAGAUUAAGGGAAGUAGCCGAGGGAGCGUACCACACACAUAGUAGGUGCUCCAUAUACUUGCCAUCCCCUUUCCUUCCCUUCUCUUCCCUUAUAACUUGCCCCAUUCUAGGUGCAGAUUGCUGGGGAGUACACAAGUCCCAUGGUUGCCUACAGUGCAUCAAGUAUUCUGAAAAUGAUUAGACUGCAGAUUCUGCCUCCUGCAUAGUCAAAACAUUUAAAAUACCAUUAAACCUCUGCUUUCCCAGCUCUGUGGGUUUCUGCAACCUACAGCUCACAAAAUUUCUGUGUCUGCAGGGGUUCAUAAUAUACUCCAGGCUUGAUGCAGUGUUGCACAUGUUUCCACGAUGUGAUUAUGGGGAAGAAUGUGGUGCAGCUCGCCUUUUAUUUUGAGAUGGAAAUUUUGCAUGACAUUUAUCUCUCCCCUUGAUUAUGUAUUUUAGUUCCUUGUGAUCAUUUUUCAUGGGGAUGAAAGGGUCUGCAAGAGUUCUGUCAUCUAUUUUAUUUAGAUUUUUGAUUUUUAGAUUUUCAUCCCACAGUCAUCCAGUAUAUCAGGAAAAUAUAAGUUCCCUUGUUGCAAGUGGCAAAGAGAAGACAAGGGAAAAAAGGGGACAUUUAUUAGCAGACACCAUUUGUGGAGCCCCACCAUGUCCUGAGAAUCGGCUGGGAGCUUUACCUCCAUGAUCUCUAACCUGCCAAUGCUGCUUGAGAAUUAGAGGUCAAAUGACCUGAUUAGUGAUAAGUGGUGCUUAGGAAGUAUUACAGUCAAGAUUUGAAACCAGGCCUGACUAGAUCCUAGGUCUGUGCUUACGUCACUUCACAGUAAUUAUGCAGCUAUUGAAAGCCAAGUGUUACCUACGUCCAGGAAAUGUAGAGAUGGUGACCCUGGUAUGUGGAGUUUGCAUUCCAGGCAAGACUAUCCUCUUCUGUUACACAUGAGUACAUCUUCAGGCAGAAGUGACUUCCAUAGGGUAAAGUGUUCUGAGAGUGUAAAGAAGGGGACAAUCACAUCCUUUACUCUUUUUAGAAAACUUUUUAUAUGGACCUGAUGAAUAUGCAGGAAGAAGGGAAUUCUUGUUGUAGGUAGGGGAGUGUGAUCAAAAACACAGAAGUGAGAACAUUUCAAGUGGGAUAGUUGAGACUGAGGACACAAAUUUUGUGUUUGUAAGCACUAGGGCAAGGACUCAACUUAGCUUUUGUACUCUUCCCCUGUGCUUUGCUGUAUCUAAAACAUGUAAUGGUUUGGGCUUCUGGAUUUGAUGAAGAUGCUGCAGCCACCAGGGAUGAAGUUAGGCAUUUUGCCCUGGCUGGCUGCUCUCCAAGAUAGGUACCAUGUGACUGGCAGGGAGCAGCAAUUCAGGAUAAAAGAAAAAUGAAAUAGGGAAGAGGAAUGCCUGUUUCCAGUAGGUCCUUCCAAAGAAAUCCUCAGCAGCACUUCAGACACCUGAUCAUGCCUAGAAUCUGAUGGCCUCCUCUGUGUAUGGGGUUGAGUUCAAGCUGCCUUUACAACUACUUUCUCCAGGCUCAUUUCCUGCCUCCAUACAAGGUGGAGGAAGGCUCCAGAUGGACGACCCCAUCCUUUCUCCAACCUUUGUAUCUGGCUGCAACACCUUUCUUCCACGUGCAUCCAUUCUCUCUCUCCUUCUGCACGGGAGCAUCUCUAAUUCAUUUGUUAAGACCAACUGGAAAAUUUCUUCCUCGGUAAUACAUUCCUCCACUUUGCCAGGGAUAACUGCUCCCUCCAAGUGCUCCCAUAUCCUGUUAUCUUUGUGAAAAUUCUUAGAAUGUGAUAUCAUAAUUAUCUGUGUCCAAGUUUGCCUGCUCCACUGGUGCUGUGUACCUCCAGGGCAUAGGAAGACUUGAUGGAACAAAUGAAUGAAUGGAAACACUACAGUCAUUGUCAUGUGAACACACUUGAGCUAGCCUGGUAGAAAAAUCUGGACCCACCACCUCUGUAACCCCAGCUGACUAUUAACCAAUGGUCCACAACAACUUCCAGACAACUGUGAAUGAGGCUAUCUCAGACUAUCCAGCCAAACCUGCCCAGACCAGAGGAAUGACCCAGGUGAGCCCAGGUGAAUUGCCAGCCCACAAAAUCAUGAACCAGUAAAUCAUUGUUGUUUGAAGCCACUGAUUUUUGAAUGAUUUAUUAUGUGGCAAAACCCAACCAAUUUCAUUUUUAUUUAGGGCAGCAAUUUAUUUUAUAAUAAACAAAAAAGCAAGUGAGAAACUUGUAUAAACCAAUGAUCAACAUAUAUUUUGAAACAAGGAAUACAGUUAAUCCAAUUAUAUGCACCGGAAGCUCAUUUAAAGAUAAGUAAUAAUAACAAAAGCACAAACUCAUCUUUUAGCUUGAUGAUUACAUCAAGCUGCAAAACAAUCUCCCCUAUUUAGAGUUUUUUUGCUCCUUGUGGCAGAUUGCUGAUUGUCGACCCUUCCUCCAACCCUCAGUUAAUUCUAUAACUCAGUAAUAAGACAUAAGAGGAAGUGAUGUGUACAGGGUCCAAGUCAUUUCAACAAAAGAAUCUUGUCCGGAACUCUUUUCUCCCUUUUCCUUCCCAUUUUCUGGAAAUGGCAAGAACCGGAAAAUCUUGAACACCAGUUUUGGGGAAAGGACACCUGCCCUGUCAGCUUGGGUCCCUGGUGGACUUGUGGACACAGAGCUGGAUGUUACUCGAGUUGUUACACAAGAGGGAAAUCAAUGUAUCUGUCAGAAACACUGUAAUUUGUGUAUCUUUGUUACAGUGCCUUCAAUUUUUGUUCCAACUAACAAACUCUUCCAUAUCAAUCCCUACAAUAUGCUACAGUGAUGUUUCUGAUAUAAAAUUCUUUUUCAAAAUGGGUAUGCCUAUAUUGCUUUUGCUUAUUGUAAAAACUUCAAACCAAACAGAAACAUAUGAAAAGGAUAUAAUUUCUGAGGAUGUUGAAUGAUUUGAAUGUUAUCAUUCCAUAUUUUUAAUGCAUCUAAAAUUACAUGUGGUUAGACUGCUAAAAUUGUACUCUUCAUAUUUUUCUGUAAUCUGCUUUCUCUAUUUAAUGACAUAUUACAGAUAUCUUUCCAUGUCAUCACAAGAUCUAUAUAAUAGUCCAUCCAAUGGAUAUAGCAUACUGUAUUUUAAAGCCCUCCUAUGCAAUUGUUUUCAACCUCUCACAUUUUCGUAAGAAAAAAAAAUCAGAAACAUUCUUAUAUCAAAUUUCUUGUGCACUUAUUCAAGCUAUUUCCUUCAGAUAAGUUUUAGAAGAAAACUUUCUGGAGGAAGGGGAAUUUAAUACAUACAAUAUACAUCUUACCUGGUGAAAAGUUUUAAGGAUUUCCCACUCUCUGAAAAUAAAGUCUGGACCCAAUGGCCUGGCAUAUUCCAGCAGGGCUGUUCUUCACUAAGCUCUCACUGACCUUUCUAACCUUACCUUCCACUCCCUAGAGCACUCUGUAUUUGAGCCAUGUUGAUCAUAGAUUUCUAUUGAAGGUAUCCAAUUAUUUCACAAGUUUGUUCAUCUCAUGUUACUUCUUCUGUAUUCAGUUAUUUUACAUUUGUCUGUUCCAUAUGAGAAAUGCACACAUGCACACACUCACACACACCUACUUUAUAUGGUGAUCUACCUUCUUUCUGUUAUUAAAAACAUAGCCCAAUAUUACCUAUUCUAGGCAGCCUUUCAUUAUGGUUGUUGUCAGCCUAUCACAUCCCCCUCCUCUUUGCUUCUAUAGUAAUUUUACCUACUUUUAUCAUAGCAUUUAUCACAUACUUACCACAUCCUGCUUCGCUAUUUAUUGUGUUUACUUAUUUAUUUUCCUGUCUAGACAAUGUCAUCCUGAGAGAAGAAUGUUCUUGUCUUUGAAUUCUCCUUCUCGGAAUGGUAGCUGGCACCUAAUGGGCAUUCAUGGGAAUGCACAUACACCUCGCUUUUCCCCAGGCAUUCUGGGUCAUGUUGUCAUCAAGAUCUAUUCUAGGUUUCUCUAAAUAAUAUUUCAUAUUUUGGAGUCUCA